AUUGAACGCUGGCGGCAGGCCUAACACAUGCAAGUCGAGCGGAUGAAGGGGGCUUUCUCCUGGAUUCAGCUGCGGACGGGUGAGUGAUUCCUAGGAAGCUGCCUGGUAUUGGGGGAUAGCGUCCGGUAACGGGCGCUAAUAUCGCAUACGUCCUUAGGUUGAAAGGCGUGGAUCUUCGGACCUCACGCUAUCAGAUGAGCCUAGGUCGGAUUAGCUAGUUGGUGGGGUAAAGGCCUACCAAGGCGACGAUCCGUAACUGGUCUGAGAGGAUGAUCAGUCACACUGGAACUGAGACACGGUCCAGACUCCUACGGGAGGCAGCAGUGGGGAAUCUUGGACAAUGGGCGAAAGCCUGACCCAGCCAUGCCGCGUGUGUGAAGAAGGUCUUCGGAUUGUAAAGCACUUUAAGUUGGGAGGAAGGGCAGUAAGUUAAUCCCUUGCUGUUUUGACGUUACCAACAGAGUAAGCACCGGCUAACUUCGUG
rnacentral:rRNA from 1 species